rnacentral:pre_miRNA from 1 species
AUCACCUGGGAAUCUUGUUAAAGUGCAGGUUCUGAUUCAAUAAGUCUGGGGCGGAGGCUGAGAUUCCGCAUUUGUAACAAGCUCCUAGGCGAUGCUGA